GACGAACGCUGGCGGCGCGCCUAACACAUGCAAGUCGAACGAGCGAGAGAGAGCUUGCUUUCUCGAGCGAGUGGCGAACGGGUGAGUAACGCGUGAGGAACCUGCCUCAAAGAGGGGGACAACAGUUGGAAACGACUGCUAAUACCGCAUAAGCCCACGGCUCGGCAUCGAGCAGAGGGAAAAGGAGCAAUCCGCUUUGAGAUGGCCUCGCGUCCGAUUAGCUAGUUGGUGAGGUAAUGGCCCACCAAGGCGACGAUCGGUAGCCGGACUGAGAGGUUGAACGGCCACAUUGGGACUGAGACACGGCCCAGACUCCUACGGGAGGCAGCAGUGGGGAAUAUUGCACAAUGGGGGAAACCCUGAUGCAGCGACGCCGCGUGGAGGAAGAAGGUCUUCGGAUUGUAAACUCCUGUUGUUGGGGAAGAUAAUGACGGUACCCAACAAGGAAGUGACGGCUAACUACGUGCCAGCAGCCGCGGUAAAACGUAGGUCACAAGCGUUGUCCGGAAUUACUGGGUGUAAAGGGAGCGCAGGCGGGAAGACAAGUUGGAAGUGAAAUCUAUGGGCUCAACCCAUAAACUGCUUUCAAAACUGUUUUUCUUGAGUAGUGCAGAGGUAGGCGGAAUUCCCGGUGUAGCGGUGGAAUGCGUAGAUAUCGGGAGGAACACCAGUGGCGCAGGCGGCCUACUGGGCACCAACUGACGCUGAGGCUCGAAAGUGUGGGUAGCAAAC
rnacentral:rRNA from 1 species